rnacentral:rRNA from 1 species
AUUGAACGCUGGCGGCAUGCUUUACACAUGCAAGUCGAACGGCAGCGCGGGCUUCGGCCUGGCGGCGAGUGGCGAACGGGUGAGUAAUACAUCGGAACGUGCCCAGCAGUGGGGGAUAGCUCGGCGAAAGCCGGAUUAAUACCGCAUACGACCUGAGGGUGAAAGCGGGGGAUCUUCGGACCGCGCGCUAUUGGAGCGGCCGAUGGCAGAUUAGCUAGUUGGUGGGGUAAAGGCCUACCAAGGCGACGAUCUGUAGCUGGUCUGAGAGGACGACCAGCCACACUGGGACUGAGACACGGCCCAGAGUCCUACGGGAGGCAGCAGUGGGGAAUUUUGGACAAUGGGCGAAAGCCUGAUCCAGCAAUGCCGCGUGUGUGAUGAAGGCCUUCGGGUUGUAAAGCACUUUUGGCGGGAACGAAAAGGACUGUGCCAAUACCACGGUUCGAUGACGGUACCCGCAGAAUAAGCACCGGCUAACUACGUG